UUGAACGCUGGCGGCAUGCCUUACACAUGCAAGUCGAACGGCAGCACGGAGCUUGCUCUGGUGGCGAGUGGCGAACGGGUGAGUAAUAUAUCGGAACGUACCCUGGAGUGGGGGAUAACGUAGCGAAAGUUACGCUAAUACCGCAUACGAUCUAAGGAUGAAAGUGGGGGACUCGCAAGAGCCUCAUGCUCGUGGAGCGGCCGAUAUCUGAUUAGCUAGUUGGUAGGGUAAAAGCCUACCAAGGCAUCGAUCAGUAGCUGGUCUGAGAGGACGACCAGCCACACUGGAACUGAGACACGGUCCAGACUCCUACGGGAGGCAGCAGUGGGGAAUUUUGGACAAUGGGCGAAAGCCUGAUCCAGCAAUGCCGCGUGAGUGAAGAAGGCCUUCGGGUUGUAAAGCUCUUUUGUCAGGGAAGAAACGGCGGUUUCUAAUACAGAUCGCUAAUGACGGUACCUGAAGAAUAAGCACCGGCUAACUACGUGCCACCACCCGCGGUAAUACGUAGGGUGCAAGCGUUAAUCGGAAUUACUGGGCGUAAAGCGUGCGCAGGCGGUUUUGUAAGUCUG
rnacentral:rRNA from 1 species